rnacentral:rRNA from 1 species
AAUCAACGCUGGCGGCGUGCCUAACACAUGCAAGUCGAACGAGAAAGCGGGAGCAAUCCCGUGAGUAAAGUGGCGACCGGGUGAGUAACACGUGACUAACCUACCUUCAAGUGGGGAAUAACCUCGGGAAACCGGGGCUAAUACCGCAUAACAUCGCAGCCGUAAACGGACGGCGAUCAAAGACAGCAAUGCGCUGGAAGGAGGGGGUCGGCGGCUGAUUAGCUAGUUGGUGAGGUAAUGGCUCACCAAGGCAGUGAUCAGUAUCCGGCCUGAGAGGGCGGCACGGACACACUGGAACUGAACACGGUCCAGACUCCUACGGGAGGCAGCAGUGGGGAAUUUUGCGCAAUGGGGGAAACCCUGACGCAGCAACGCCGCGUGGAGGAUGAAGUCCCUUGGGACGUAAACUCCUUCGAACGGGACGAUAAUGACGGUACCGUAUGAAGAAGCCCCGGCUAACUUCGUGCCAGCAGCCGCAGU